CUCACAGAACGAGUUUAAGCAGUGAAAUUGAAAACAGUGUUUGAAUUGCUGAGCCACAAGUUCCACAUCCUCUUGGGGUAUAUUGAUGCUGCAGCGCAAAUUAUUACUCAAACAAGAUUCGUCCGAUAUCGCCAUAAAAACCUGCUCAGCCCAAAAAGAUGUCCGUUCAAAGAAGACAUGCCAUGAUGAUUUAUUUGUAUCUGUUACUCAACUUCGUUCUGUGUGAGGAAGUCACCCCACUGAUAGGGAGAAUCAUAACUCCCGAAGGCGGGACAGAGGCCAGGGAAUACCAGUGUGUCGCCGAUGCCAACUCCGCACCAACAAGCUUCGUGUGGAGAUACCAGGGCCAGGCCUUGCCUGAUGGUGUGAGACCCGAGGGGGACAGACUGCACUUCCUCGAGUUGAACUCUGACCUUAACGGCGAGUAUAGCUGUGAGGUCACAAACCCAUAUGGGACGGCUGUGUACUCCAUAUAUCGCCACAUAGUUGACCCCGACGACACCCACAAUGAACUUUGACUGCUGCCCUGAUUUGUCAUUGUGGGUAAGUUUGUUUAUCCCAUUUGGACAACACACAGACACAGACACAGACACAGACACAGACACAGACACAGACACAGACACAGACACAGACACAGACACUCACUCACUCACUCACUCACUCACUCACUCACUCACUCACUCACUCACUCACUCACAUUCACACACACAUUGACACACACUCUCACUCACUCACACACAUUCACACACACAUUAAUUUACACAUUCAUACACACAUUCAUACACACACACACACACACACAUACACACACACACUCACACACUCACACACAUUCAUACACACAUUCAUACACAUACACACACACUCUCACUCACUCACACACAUUUACACACACAUUGACACACACUCUCACUCACUCACACACAUUCACACACACAUUCAUACACACAUGCAUACACACACACACUCACACACACACACACACACUGUGUGAGUAUGUACUGCACCUGUGUGAGCGUGUACUGCACCCAGCACACUGAGACCUUCCCUUGUGCUAUUUUAGGGCAUGUGCAGAUCUCAAGUCCAGACCUUAACCAAGCAUGGAUCCAUAUCACAAAUUGAUUGUUACAGGCUUAGAAGUAAUUGUGCAAAGUACACACACACACACACACACACACACACACACACACACACACACAACAUAGAUGAACAUAAAGAUGCAUCAAUAGAACAGUUCAUCCAAAGUAAGUUUCAAUAAGGUUAGAACAUUAAUUUCAUCACUCGUGAGGCCACUAGCCACCGCUGGCCAGUGACCCUGUGCUCUGUGGCUUUGAACCAGAGCAGAGGCUGGGCGCAGGUUUCAGUGCAGUGCAACACUAGCUGGUAUCUCUAACACUAGCAUGUAUCUCUAACACUAGCAUGUAUCUCUAACACUGCUUAUCUUGUCAUGCAGCUUUCUCUGGACCUGGCUGAAGAAGUCCAAAGUAUCAUGUCUGGCUCAAGUCUGGCUCUGGCUUGUAAUAUACUAGACUUCACAUGCAUAUACUUUCAUUCAUAUACUUGCUUUAUGCAUUAUUUAUUUAUCUUUGAUAUUCCAUCCAUUGCAAGCAGCUUCUUAGCCAAAUCCCAGUGCACUUGAGUGAUGUUAGAACAUACACACCUUCCUCUAUAAUGAGAGGUAUCCAUGAGUGCAUGCACAACUCAAAAUAGAUUGGCUACAGUAAAUAGUGAAAAAUGAAAAAUAUAAGCAGCCUCAUGUAAUGCACAGUAUGGUGUAUGAAUAAUGACAAUGUUAUAUAAUCCUAUAUAUUUGUAAGUUACUUGAAGUCAUUGCUCUUUGUCAUUUGCUCUUUGCCGUUUUGUGCUAUUGCAUUUCAAUAAAUAAAGGAUUUAUUUAAGUGGUCA
ensembl:lncRNA